UUUUGCCGGCGAGCGGCGGACGGGUGAGUAAUGCCUGGGAAAUUGCCCAGUCGAGGGGGAUAACAGUUGGAAACGACUGCUAAUACCGCAUACGCCCUACGGGGGAAAGCAGGGGACCUUCGGGCCUUGCGCGAUUGGAUAUGCCCAGGUGGGAUUAGCUUGUUGGUGAGGUAAUGGCUCACCAAGGCGACGAUCCCUAGCUGGUCUGAGAGGAUGAUCAGCCACACUGGAACUGAGACACGGUCCAGACUCCUACGGGAGGCAGCAGUGGGGAAUAUUGCACAAUGGGGGAAACCCUGAUGCAGCCAUGCCGMKGUGUGUGAAGAAGGCCUUCGGGUUGUAAAGCACUUUCAGCGAGGAGGAAAGGUUGAUGCCUAAUACGCAUCAGCUGUGACGUUACUCGCAGAAGAAGCGCCGCG
rnacentral:rRNA from 1 species